GACAGAGGUGCCGAGCGUUAGGCGGAAUCACUGGGCUUAAAGCGUGUGUAGGCGGACUUCUAAGUACCUUGUGAAAUCCCACGGCUCAACCGUGGAACUGCUAGGUAUACUGGUUGUCUUGAGCCACUUAGGGGCAGUCGGAACAGACGGUGGAGCGGUGAAAUGCGUAGAUAUUGGAAGGAACUCCGGUGGCGAAAGCGAACGGCUGGAUCUCUUCUGACGCUGAGGCGCGAAAGCUAGGGGAGCAAACGGG
rnacentral:rRNA from 1 species